GGAGCCGCUAGAUCAGUGUAUCGAGCGGGCUAGAACGUGGAGCGGGGGGCCUCCGGGGAGCCUCGUGAAACCGCGACCCGUUGAUUCGUAAUCAGUAGGUCCGCGGUUCAAGUCCGCGCUUCGGCUCCA
rnacentral:tRNA from 1 species